CGGGGGCGCGGCCCGAAAUUCCCACAAUCCCCCAGAUUCGCUCCCCCACCCUGCUUUUAACCUCCCCUCCCCUCCAGAGCCCAGGAAGCCACCCCCCUCCGCAGACACAGGCCCCUCCAGUCUUGGGAAAGGAGCUCACAGACCCCUGGAAGCACCCACCACCUCCCCUUUCAGUUCCACUACAGCCUUGCCCCUCAAAGUCCUGGCUUCUGUCGCCCGGCACCACCCAACGUUUGACCUUGACACAGUACCUCCCCCUCCUCCAGCCUCAGCUUCCCCAACUGUAGCAAGAGGGGCCUGCAACAGUGGUGUUCCAAAGUUCUCUCCACCUCUAAGAUUUUAUGGCUUCGUUUCCACAUUUCCUCUCCCUUCUCCCCCCAUCCCUGAGGUCACAUCUCAUUUUCCAAGGGCAAAAGGUCUUUCGAAGGAGCUUCUGGACCCCAAUCGGCCCCUAUCCUGAGAUCAAUAAAACUGAACUUCUACACAGUACCAUGCCCAUACAGCCCUGUGACCUUGGUACUUUACCCUGUCUGACCCCUGGCCUCAUCUAGACCUCAGCUCAACCCAAGGAAAGAUUUUCUGUGUGCAUAGCCUUCCAAGGGGAAGGGAGCUAGGAUCUGUUGGACGCCCACAUUGUCUUGUGUGUGCUCACAGCCCUGUGCUAGCUAGGUAGGCCCUCUCCAGACUGACUGCCUUGUCUCAGGCAUAAUAAUAAGAGGAGCUGUUAUGAUUCUCAUUUGGUCAGCAGAGGACAGUGGAGACUCAGGGAGGCUCCUUACCUGCCAUGAUCACAGCUGGAAAGCAGGCUGCCGACAGGUUUGGGCAUCAUUAUCCAUGUAUUGAAGGUGACUCUCCAAACCACAGACAAAAGUUUUAACUGAAAGAGAUGUGCUGUCCUCCUAGGUCUCACAGGAGCCAACGCUUUAGGGAACCAAAGGAGGUUUGUGAAGGAAGAAAGAGGAAGAGGGUUAGCAAGAGAAACAGUGUCUUGGCUGGAAGAUGGGGAAGGAGUGGAGGAGCAGACCCUUUGACCUCCCCAAUCAGCAAAGCAGGAGGGUCUCCAAGAUGCAGAGAGGGGAGAAAGUGAAGUCGUUUCAGGUGAGAGGAUCCCUUCUUUCCACUGCUUUCCGGGAGCCAGAGGUCUGCAUCCUUCAUGCCAGCAACCCCAAGGCCAAACAGAGGCCAGGGGAUCAAUAAGCACUUGCUGGAGGGGAAAGGCCAGACUGAAUGGAGGAAUCGAUCUCUGGGAGUUGUCCAGGGUCGAGGGCCUCCUACUGACACCUGUGCUGAGCGCCAGUGGGAAAUCAGUUGCCUUUGCUCAGAGGGUGGAAGGGUCAGAGGGGCAGGUGCACCUGGGGCACCUGCUCCUAGUUAGGUGCAGAACUAAAGGGACAGACACCUCCAGGAGUGGUGAUGACCUCACCCUUGACCUCUGUCUUCUGCGUCACUGAAGAAAGAGCACUUCUGCAUAAAGACUGUAGAAGACCCCACUGCACUGUUCUAGAAAACAAGGUGUUCACAGAGAUGAUAAGCACAAAGAAAUGGAAGGAACUCCUCUUCCAACUCCCUGCCUCACACUUCUCUACCAGUCACCCUGAAUGACUGGAGAUUAUUCUGCCCCAUCUGCACCAUGGCCUCAUUUGACCUGACUUCUGGGGAAGUGCCUACAAACAGGCCUGGUGUGAAGGGCAGGCUCUGGCCAGGGAAAGGCCUUCCUCAGGACCAGCACCAGCUCCUGUUUGCAGAUGGUCCAACUCACUGACCGAGAAGGGGGUGUGCACAUUGCCGAGAAAGUGGACUAAUAUUUUUGGGAAUUUGCUUCAAUUAAAAAUUGAGGACAGUUCUAAGCAAAACAGAAGUAGGUGAAUUUAUUUUCUGGGCCUCUGCACAGAUCUUUCUGGGCCCUCAGCUUCUGCAGGCAUUUCCAAGGGGCCUCUACCCCAGCCAGCAUUUCCCAACUAGCCGGUUCCAUAACUCCUACCGUUUCCUCCCCACUCUCCCACCAAGCAGGCCAGACCUGCCAGGGAGAAACUAAUCUUAGAAAUCAAUCUUUUUUGUGUGUGUGAGAUGGAGUCUCGCUCUGUCACCCAGGCUGGAGUACAG